GCUCCAACUGCCAAUGCAGUGCUUCAAGGAAUGCCACAUCAGUUCCGAAUACUUGAAGAUUUGGAGCAAGGCAAUGAAUACACGCUUGUAAAGCAGAAACACUGGAAAUGCAUUAGUAAAAAGAAAACAGAGCCUGUGUAAAUUGCAUCCUACUGCCGUCUUGUCUGCUGCCUGCAAUCCCAACCCCCAUCUUCCAAAAUAGAGACACCACAUCCCACGUCCUCUCACAACAGGCUGCUCCACACAGUGGGGAGGCAUCCUCAGCAUUUUAUUUCUGAGGUUGAAUUCAGUGAUUUCAUUCUGCUCUGCUUAGAAUUCUGGGAGAAAAUUUACACAUGGACACAUGGAACCAUAAUCUUCUAAGGUGCUGUCACAUCAUGAUAGUAUCUUCAAACUAUGUUUGACAGGAUAGAGAAGACAGUGUAAUGGACAGGCAGGACAUGUCUUCCAGGAAUAACAGCUAGACACUUCGCUUCACACAGUGCUAUAAUAUUUCACCUAUCAAGGACAAGAUGCUGGGUAUUUACAGACUGUAAUGAGACUGUCCACUGUUUGAUGUUACCAUAAAUAAACAGGGAUACGUGGGCACCUGGGUUCAACAGCUGAAGAGCAGAUACCUGCAUUCCAAAUGAAAAUGAAAUCUCAAACCAAGCCAUCUUUAAGGAUCACAAUGUUAAGAUUUCAAUGGGACAGUUCGUGGAGCAACUUUCUGAUGCUGCAAUUUGGCCCAGGACUGAUGACUUCAAUGGAAUUAUACCAAUUCUCACCACCAGAGAGUUUAGUCUAAUUUGAAGAAGGGUGGCAGAAUGUGACCCAUAGUGAGAAUCUUGACAACAACGCAACUAGUAUUGAAAUGCAAGAGUUAUAUUAUGUGCUAACCUAAACUCAUACAACUCCAACUCUGCUGGGGGCCCAGAGCCAGUUGGGAAAGGGCUGGGCUUCUGGUCACAUAUACAGACACGUACUUGUGUGUGAAAUUAUCUCAUCUGUGCAUUCAAAUACCAAUCUGAGUGUGCAAAUGUGGGGUUUGGUGGUUCAUACACUAUGUACCACAUCCCCAUUAUAUCCUCUGCAAAUUUGGCCCUUUGAAAACACCCAUUAGUGUGUUUUGCUCAGGAAUAUGGUGAUGCCAUAUUAGAUUAGACAAAUUAGAUUCCAGUCCACACCUGAAGUUAUACUUGGGAAUAUGCGAUCUAGUCAAUUUUGUAAUACUACCACCAUGUGAUAAAGGCUUUGCCAUAUAAUUUAACCUAAGUGCUAUAUAUGUCAUCAACUAUGUGGUAAAUAUGCCUAUUUUUCCUCACGAAAAUUCAGAAGAGAGAGGUUGCUGUCUAGUACAUUUCAUUAUUUAUUGUGUCAAUUCAGUGCAAUUCAAUAUAUUGUGUUAAUUUCCUUUUCCUAUUUUUUAAAGAAGUAAUCUGUCACUGAGGUUGUAACAGCUCCAGUUUUAAUGGAAGUCUAUGAGACAAUGUCAAUGAAAU